rnacentral:lncRNA from 1 species
UAAGUCUUCGUUACGAAAGACAGCCGCCAUUUUUAUUCGAGCACUGAUUGAAAGCGUAUCGUUAUCCGUAUCCGUACGGCGUAUUUUCCUUCCUCACAUUUUUCUUCAUAAAAAUGCUGAUCAUGUGGCCUGAGCAGAACCUGAGCAUCUGUAAAUUUUGCCAAGAUGUCGUCUCUUUUUCCUGUACCGGCUGUUUGUAAGAAUCACUUCAGAACAAAUCAGUCUGGGAAAGUCUGAGCUUCGUCGUUGCUGCCAAUGUACACAUGGAUUUAAUGCAGCCAGGUGUUCCUCUUGCUACCUGUACUGCUGUGUGUUUCGUCAAAUGAAGAAAAAUGAACAACUGAAGUUUAUCGUGUUUGUUCGCGUUGUUGCUGUCCGCUGUGGUACGUUGUUUCAGCCUCUGCUGGUGAUAGAUCUUUCUGCAUCAAAUUCAAUUAGCCGUUCCUUGGUGCUGGACUGCUGGUGUCGUGUUACCGAAAUUGUAUCAUUAUUUUGUUAAAUUGUCAUCGUGACUGCAGUUUACCGUUAAGAAGUUAAGAAGCAACAAAAACAAAUAUGGGAUAUUUAUGUCAACAAAUAAUAAACAUGUUUUCGGGAUUGGGAAAGGAAAGUGGAGGAUGUUGGAGAGGGGGAGGAUAUUUCAAGUUUGGAUAAAAAAUCUGUUAAUCUAUAACCCUACAAAUGUUGCCCUACCAAUUAAUCUCCAAACCCCACAAACAUAUACCUUCCAAUCCUUCAAACCCCGAAAACAUACACCACUAACCCUUAAAUUUAUACCCUUAACCCUAUAAACCAAUGUUAAACCUUAACCAUGUAAUAUCUGUAAUAAAUAAAAAUAAAUAUAUUAUAUGAA